GAUGUCUAUAGCUAUAUAUCGACCUCGUAGAUACCUGGAGAUCCAGAUAUUGACCGGAAUCUGAUUUCCCUUUGCUCUCAUUUAAAGGUGAGCCAGGCAUGAAUGAUUUAAUCUCUUGUUGCCUCUAGAAAACAUGGUGGAAAUCGCACGCAGAGCAAACAUGUCAAUCAGCUUGUGAAAUUCCCAAUUGAUACUUCGCCAAAAUACCGCUGGACGGGCAGAAAUCUCCAAUAGCCUCUCAAUCUGGAUUUCGAAGAACAGUUGUAAACAGUUGUAAUGGGAUGUAGCUCUUCCGUAGCCUCGCUUCCAUCGGAACCAUUGAAAAGCAAAAGCGGAAGUGACCUGAGAACCACGGACAUAAUGGACUGGGAAAUUUUACAAGAAAAAUUGGGCUAUAAGGGAGAUGGAUCUAGGAAUGUGUCGCCAAAGGACUCGAGGAAGUUGUCGAACUCUGACAAUAUGAUACCACCGAAACGAGAGACCGGAGAAACAAAUGUAAACUUCAAGGUAAUCAAAAAAGAGGAGAAGUCCCGGAAAAGACCAAAAUCAAAACAGAAGAUGAAUUCCACUCCACUGACAUUGCAAGAAGUGGAUGAAUUCGAGUGAUGUUGGCUAUAUCACAGAAUUUGAAAUCAAUUUAGGAUAUAUAAAGGAUAGGUAAAAUUUGGAUGGAUAACAAAGUGGUUAACUACUUAAUAAGACCAGUUUAGUAAAAUCGGGAACAACUGCAACGAUCCUUCAAAGGGUGUGAAAAAUAUAUACGUUUAUAUUUAUUUAGAAGUAAUAGAGUAUGUAUGUUAUUUCAAAUACAGAUUGGAGAUUAAUUUCACUAUAAUAAGAUGUUGUGUCGUAGGGUGUUGAAAGUAUAUUAUGUAUAUACCCGAAUAUUAUAUUUAAGAUCAAUUGUUAUUAACGAGAUACAUGUAGCAAACCUACUGGCAAAUAAUUCAUUUACAUGAGAACAUAAAUAUAUAUUAUGAUGAAUAAAGAUUUUGAUGUUUUACCUUUUUCUCUAUCGUCGGAACCCAGUGGUUUUCUAUCCGUUACACGUUGAAAGCAGUGUAACGGAUAGAAAACCCGUGGGUUCCGACGAUGCUUUUUUUCUACAAGUUUACGCGUAAAAUGUACAAAUUCUUAUAUGAACUGAUAUAUUUUCUGUUGUAAAUAACAAGCAAAGAGAUUAUAUAGCAACCUAUUAUAAAUACAUGUGCAGUUUAAGAGGCAAUUAAUUAUGAAAUGAUUAUCUUAAUUACACGUAUAAAGGAUUAAAUAAAAAAAAAAUGGAAUUUACAUUCUAUGUUUUUUUGAUUUAACAUAGACUUGUAAGGCAUUGAAUGCUUUUUUUUUAGGCAUCGUCGAAAUUGAAUACUGCGCGUGAGUGGUAUGAUCAUAAUUUAAUUUAUCCUUAAUUUCCUUAUUUUCCUAUCAAUUUUGUACAAACUCCAAAAAG